CGGACCCUGGACUCUCUGAGGAACCUGAGGACACGUCUUUGGACCGGGCGGAGACCAGGAAGAGAAGAUUUGCUGAUAGAGCAAAGAAGAAGGCUAAGUUCAGAUGCCGUGGAAGCCGUCAGAGAGUAACAAUGGUCACCAUCUCUGAACCGGACCUUGGACUCUCUGAGGAACCUGAGGACACGUCUUUGGACCGGGAGGAGACCAGGAAGAGAAGAUUUGCUCUAUGGUUUCACAUCACUGUCAUUGUGAGCAUUGGACUGCUGAGUAUUCUUCUCAUCUCCCUGCGCUUCAACUCACCGUCACCCUGGAGGGAGGGGAGAGAGCACUUACUGGAUGAACUCG